rnacentral:misc_RNA from 1 species
GAAAUGCGAUACGUAAUGUGAAUUGCAGAAUUCCGUGAAUCAUCGAAUCUUUGAACGCACAUUGCACUCUCUUUCGGGAGAGUAUGCCUGUUUGAGAAUCUAAAGUAAUUAUUUCUCAUCAAAAAAAUUUGAUGAGAAGAUUUGGGGAAUCGUGUUUAAACCGCGCGCUCCCUUAAAUAAAUAGCUAGUAUUUUGCACUAAUGCUUAAAGUAUUUGAAUACCAAGAUUUGGUUUAUACCUGUACUUUGCAAAAGGGCUAUUUAUAAUACUGGUUCAUAAACCUAGGAGGGGGAAUACUCUUCCCCCUUGAACCUUGGUCUCAAAUCAGGUAGGAAGACCCGCUGAACUUAA